AUUUGCAAAAGCUGAUUUGUCGAAGCAGGAAUGCACGCUCUCCAGACAUCAAUAUUUGCUUUUUGAUUAUCCUUGUUUUUAUUCGGGCCAUGGGUUAAGGCAGCCUUCUAAGACAAGUGUGAAACGAACACUCGUCUGCAGCAGCAGAGGUAACAACUGUAGGUGAUGGAGCCCUGUGCUUUACAGGGUGCUUGAUUGGUGGAAUAUCUCGGAUGAAGUUGUGGGGACUAAGGCAGCUGCUGUUGAGCUUACAGGGUCAAUACCCAAGGCCUUGACCUUUCCUGCUUGGAAAACAAAGCACAGGUGGUCCAGCCUCAUGAGAGGUCAGGCAAGUUAUUUUCAGGUGGGCUUUUUCCCCACACCAUGGUCAAGUUUAGAUUGUUAUAUUUGUUGUGUUGCUGUCUAAGGCUUUUUGUUGCCUGUGCUGAGUAGGCCUGUCUGUCCAGAUUGUUUGCAUAAAAUCAAUCCCCCCUUUUAAAACAUACAUUUUUAAAUAAGAGUGACACCUGCUGGUUACUAUAAAGGUAAUUGGAAACUCAAUGAAUAAUAAUAGAAUGCAAACUGCUGAUGUGGGAUGACUAUGGCACAUAAUAGUUGCACACAAGUGGAAUGCACAGAUUUUGUUUAGAAAUUUUCUAAAUAUGCACUGUUUAGAAGUCUUUAAGAGGUUUUUGGUAACACUUUACUGUACAGUAGUUUUCAUAAGUCUACAUGACACCUACAUUGGUACAUCAUGACAAGUGACACAAAUCAAUGCAAACAUUUAUUCUGGCUUAUUUCAAAGAUGACAUCUGCUUUUGUCAACUCUGAAAUCACGUUGAAAUCACACAAAUCACACCAUGUGAAAUGAAAUUGAUUUUUGUCUCUAAUAUUGUGUUGUCAUGAUACUUUUUUGGGUGCAAUGACAGGUUAUGACAACUGACUUUGUAGCUUUGUAAAUGUCAGAGUGACAUAAUGCUAAUGACAUGACAUAGCUUAACUAUUACAAAUGGUAAAAUGAAACACAUUUUGCCUAGGGCCCAGAGAUUAUGCUCACCAUAAUUAGUGAAUAAUAUGAAUAUUAGUGAAUAAUGUGAAUAAAAAUUAAUGAAUGAAUUAACAUGCUUUUUGGUGCCUUUGUCAAUAUCUCUUCCCAAAAGAUAUCUUCUUAUUAUGAAUCCACAGAAUCAUAAGUUUACUGUGAAAUGCCUUUGUCUUGUCGUGUGGUCCCUAGAGAAGAGGUCCAGCUGUAUCAGGAGCACUGCAUGGCUGGCUGGAUCAGUGUCAUGCCAUAACUGGCAUUCUGUUGAGUGACCAGUGGAAAUGGGAGCCUGGAGGUCAGCCAGUGAAGGCUCUCUAAUGAAGAUGCCUGAUAUGAGUGACGGGCCGGGACAGAAAGGGAGUGAGAGAAUGAAAGAUCGCAUGCUGAUUGCACAGGGUGAACUCAACUGAGUGUGUCCAGUGAGAGCAACAAUGGUCGCAUGCGUCAACCAGUGAGUAUACAUAUCGUAUAUAUCAUAUAUUCAGUCAAUGGUUCCAAUGCCUCUGCGGUUGUAGCCCUCUGGCUCUUGUUCUAGUACAUACGGCUUGUGGAUUCUUGGUUCAUUGGAGCGUUAUGAGGAGCCCUGGAGCUUUCCACUUUACUAUUGUUUUUAUUAAUUUGCUGGUUGUUGAUUUAUCCAUAGAUACCACCAUGGCCAUAGCUGUAAACAGGUUUCAUGAAAGGGGUGAUCUAUGGAACUUGACAUUUAAAUCUGUAUUUGAAUGAGAGGGCUGCAGUUGUUGAGCUUACAUACAGCUGGCAUUCAGCCUGGGACUACGGAAGCUUUGAAGAGUCAAACUAGAAAACAGGGUUAACGGCUUUUUAAAAAUUAAUCUUUUUAAUACGUAACACAUUAACUUUGUAGGGUAAUUAUUUUGAUUACACUAACAGAAAUAUGUGUGAAUUACUACUUGGCCCAGUAUGAAUUGCAAACUGCUUUAAUCACUGUAUUAGCUGUCCUAUGAAUCAGUUACAGUUGAACGUAUUGAAAUUAAAUUUGUAGAAAGUGUAAAACAUAAAACACUAUAUUUUAAAAAAUAAUUCUGGACCCACCUAACAACACAGGUAGCUUUGAAGUGUCUAUACCUGGCCUGAAAAAAAAUUUUGGCCAACACUGCUAUGUAUUUUUUAUGUGACUCUUCUCUAGCUGAUAAAUUAAAGGCUGUAACCAGAAUAAGAUAAUGUGCAUCAACCAGUGUUCUACUCUCUGACCAAACUUAUUAGAUGAAGGAAAAAGAGAGGUACAUCAGCAAAUGACAAAACCUUUGGUGGUGUGUAACGUCAUCCUUGUUAUAAAAAUCUAUGAGAGACACUGGAGAGCUUUUACACUUUGUCAGUUUUUGAGUAGAAGAGGUGCAUAUACAGACAAAUUUCUGAAUGGUUAGUACAGUAAUUAAAAAUAAAAUAUAAGUAGAUAGUGUUGUGGGGAGUGUAUGUCAGAAUAGAGGGAUAGUGAGACAGGUUUGCUAAGGCUGGUGUUAGAUGGCAGAGUCUGUGUCUAAGGGCUAUAAACUGCCUAUCAUCAGGAUGCUGUUAGUCUUGUACAGGAGAGUACUGGUUGCUACUGUUUCAUUAUGUGUUACUGAACACCAGUAACACAUUAGCAAGCAGAGAUGAUCUAGGAUGACAUCCUUUUCAGUCCUCCUGAAGAGGCCAUCUUAGAGGCUAUCCUUCUGACUCCUUUGAGACAUGGCAGCGCUAAACAGGGCACAAACGUGUGUGUAUGGUACACUAGAUUUAGGGUGAGGUUCAGACUUAUAAUGUAUAGUAUCCAUAUGGUUUCAUAUUGUUGAAAAUAGGCCUUAACUUCUCUGUUAUCAUUUAAGGUUACUGGGUGCAACUGCUUGUUAAGAGACAAUUCGUGGUAUUAUAUUAUAUAGGAGUGAUUAUAUUAAAAAUACUUGAGUAUGUCUUUCAUAUUGAUGUAUAUAGAGACUCUGUAGACACUUUUGGGUAAAUAUCUUGACACUUUCCUGGUGCUUAGUAAUGUGCAUAUGCACAUGCAGCAGGGAAAUAAGAGAGCACUUUGUAUGGGAAUGUGUCAGUCAUAUAGUCUCUCUGCUAUGCUUCCUCUUUGCCACAGAUACACAGAAGGGCCUGGCUUGGAUAUGCCAAAUGCAUAUUGUGCACACAUUACUGAGAGCUGAUCUUACCAUGUCAGUUCAUUGGCAUUCAGUCAUACUUGUCUCAGAAGAUGUGUGGCUUUGCUUUAAAAAGAUUUCCUGUGAGAUUCCAGGUAGUGAGCAAAGGCCAUCAUGUGUGGACUCUUUGAAUAUCUUAAGAAAGAGAAGUGACAUAUUUUCCUUCCUAAACUGAAUAUACAUGACAACUUUUAAAAUUUUAACAGAUUUCACAGUCUUUUAAAGAAUUUCUUGUCUUUUAUUGUUAGGGUGCGCACACUAGACGAUAAAGCAAAAAGAAGUUAUCCCACACAUAAGGAAGAGCACUAAAAUCUUAGAUAUUGCUGUUGUCACAUGAUACAAACAGAGCUGUUUCUGCUGUGCUUACCCACACACAAGUAGCACACCAAAAAUGCAAACCGGGGGUGAAUAAGGGGCACAUCCGACAGAGCUCCUGGCUUGCAAAAUCUGAAAAAUUGUUUGAAGGAUGAAGGGCAAAUUGGAGUUAAAAUCGGGCAAAUAUCACAUAGUGUAUGCCCAUCAUUAAUAAUUGAUUCUCAUAGAAUCUUUUAUGUUUAGCUCAAAGGAUUAAGUCCUGUUGACAUUCAGUGAAGAGUUGUAUUAUUCUGCAUUUGCCAGCAUAGUGAAAAUAAUUUAAUAGCCAUAUGUCAGUGUCAUUUGCUCAGGUAACCCAGGAUGGCAUACUUAUGAUUUUAGGACAAAUGGCGCUCUCUGCUGCCCAUUGCACAAUUUACAACUGAUGCCUGAUGCCUUGUCUCUGUAUGUGUGUCUGUAUCUUUUUGAUUUUUUUGCCUUAGCGAGUUAUCAGACCAAGGAAACCAGACAUACAUUUCUCAGGCUGACUUUAUAUGGUGAAACUUUAAUGCAGCUAGUUGCGUGUAGCAUGCCAUAAGCUGCCUGCAACCUAAUUUCUGUGCAAUAUGACAACUACACGGAUCAGUUUAAAAACUGGCAUACAACAUAUUCAGUUACUCCGCUAGUUAGCCAAAUAAAACAGCUUGUAUUGUUUGAUCUACCUUGUCGUUCUCAUAAUAUAAACUCAUCCGCAAUGUGUUAUCUAUUUACAUGUUAAUA